rnacentral:rRNA from 1 species
UACGGGGGGGGCAAGCGUUGUUCGGAAUUACUGGGCGUAAAGGGCUCGUAGGCGGCUAACUAAGUCAUACGUGAAAUCCCUCAGCUUAACUGGGGAACUGCGUGUGAUACUGGAUGGCUUGGAUUUGGGAGAGGGAUGCGGAAUUCCAGGUGUAGCGGUGAAAUGCGUAGAUAUCUGGAGGAACACCGGUGGCGAAGGCGGCAUCCUGGACCAAUAUUGACGCUGAGGAGCGAAAGCCAGGGGAGCAAACGGG